rnacentral:tRNA from 1 species
GAGGAGUUAGUUUAGUGGAUAAAAUCAUGGCCUUCUAAGCCAUUGUCGAUGGUUCAAAUCCAUCCCUCCUCG